GAUGAAGAACGUAGCGAAAUGCGAUAAGUAAUGUGAAUUGCAGAAUUCAGUGAAUCAUCAAAUCUUUGAACGCACAUUGCGCCCGCCAGUAUUCUGGCGGGCAUGCCUGUUCGAGCGUCAUUUCAACCAUCAAGCCCCCGGCUUGUGUUGGGGACCUGCGGCUGCCGCAGGCCCUGAAAACCAGUGGCGGGCUCGCUGUCACACCGAGCGUAGUAGAUUUUCAUCUCGCUCAGGGCGUGCUGCGGGUUCCGGCCGUAAAAAGCCUUAUUUACCCAAGGUUGACCUCGGAUCAGGUAGGAAGACCCGCUGAACUUAAGCAUAUCAAUAAGCGGAGGA
rnacentral:misc_RNA from 1 species